AGUAGAGACAGGGUUUCACCAUGUUGGCCAGGGCUGGGCUUUCCUUAGACUACAAGGUACUGAGUAUGCUUUCAUUCCACUUUCUUUUACUCUCUUUUUCACUCAGAGUCAGUCUGGCAUUUCUGUGUGUUGGUUCUCCAGCCUUCUUCUGCUCUUUAAUCAUUUUUUUUCACUGGCGUUUUCUCUAACAAAAUCCUUGCGUGUAUAAUCCUCUCUUGGCAAAUGUUUCUCAGAAGACUCAGAGCAACAGUAUUUCACUGAAUUGCUUGGAGGAUUAACCAUAUUCCUGGCACAUUGUAAUAUAUACACAUAUGUAUGUGUGUGUCUGUGGAAGUGUUCCUGGUUUGGCAGUAUAUGACAUUAAGGUUUAAAAGUCAGUGUUUUCAUUUUUUGUUUUUGUUUUUUAAUUAAUCUCGAGCUAAGAGUUAGGCUUUUCUGCGCAAAGCUG
rnacentral:lncRNA from 10 species